rnacentral:lncRNA from 1 species
AGAAAAUCUUACAGAAAAGAAAAAGCCUUGGAAAUCUAUCCACAGCUGAUCACAUGGGAAGGGGAAUUGCUUUCUGCAAUGCCACCGAGUCAGCUGCCUGCAAGCAAAAGGGACAGGCAUGUGUUCCUCGUCCAGGUGUUGUUUGGUGUUGUUAUGACCCUGUGCACCCACAGUUGCUGGAAACAUGGCAGAGCCAUCUCUCAGUGAGAUCGCUCCACUGCCAGCCAGCUCUUCCGGGCUGUGCAGUCUGGCACGGGCAGACAAAGCCGACUGAGUCAGCUACAAAAACAAGGCGCCGCCCAUUAUUCUACAGGCUGGACUGGACUGCUGCUGGGGGAUCGCGAGCGCCAGACAAUAAAUGAAUCCUCUCCGGUUAAUCGUCACCCCUGCCAAUGGGACGGAGCUGGGGAGCCAGCAGGCAGAUCCUAGCAUGUCCAUUUUCUACCCACUUGCGCUCAGCAAGAGAUGGAGCCAGCUGUGCAAGCCAUGGCUGCCUCACUGGGAACCCAGCCUCGUUACCGGCCUCCCCACGUCUUGACCAGCUGGGCCUCAGAGGAAGUCACCACACGGGAUCGUCAUCUCCAUAAAGUGAACUGACACAAGAGCGUCCCAGCAUCUCGCUACCUUGCCCGCAGGUCAGUGUAUGUGGUGGCUAGAUUUCAUUUAAUAUGCAUGUCAGGCUCAGAAGCUGCGUCCACCAUCCACUGAGCCCCGAGGGGACGAUGCCCAGUGCUGUGGCUUAAAAAACAUGUGCUUUUCCGGAUCAUACCCGAGGGCCCGGAGAAGGGUCAGAACUGCAGCGGUCUCCUUGCUCCUGCUGCUGAAUAACUGUUUUCAUGCCUUCAGUGCAGGGUAGCGGGGGCUGAUAAGCAUCUUUAAAGAGAUCAUUUAAGUUGUAUUUACCUAUGCACACAAAUAAAACUUGAGACAAG